GGAGUUGUGGCUCAGUGGUAGAGUGCUUGCCUAGCAUGCAUGAGGCCCUGGGUUCUAUUCUCAGCACCCA
rnacentral:tRNA from 1 species